rnacentral:lncRNA from 1 species
UCCCCGGGUUGAGUUGAGAGUACUUGUUCAGAGGAUCCGAUUGUCAUCCGUUCAGUGGAUGUUCCUGUGAUGAUAGUGAUGUAAUCUCCAGUUCCGUUUAUUUCGGAACUCCCCAGGUCGGAUUUAUGGUGACUUGGUCCCACAGAUGGGACUGGUUCAGAGAAGUGAUGGAGAGAAGUGAUGGGUCUUCAGAGGAAUUGGUGUCACAGUAACUUGCAUUCAUGCAUUUGCAUCGCAUUCAUCUGCAUUCAACUCAUGUCCAUCCGUACUCAGGGUCCAUUAUUUUUAAUUGAAAUUCUGGUUGAGAGACAUCCAGACGUCAGAUUGUUAUUAAUGAAAAAUUAUCUGUCUCAGUGACGCUAGAAUCAAAGGACAUAUGUUCCUGGUACGGGUAGACACUGCAUGUGUGAGUCAUAUUAACCCAUUUGCUGUUUUGUAGGUGUCAACCGGUGCGCAUAGCUCGUUUGUUCAAAUUUCCUGCUAGGGGCAACAAAUCCAAACUGAUGGAUCCACUCAACACCGGUAAAGGCAGACAUGUUUGGGAUCGGUUAUCGGCCAGAUCAAGAGUCGUCUAGACCAAACAGAGGACGUCGUCCACCGUACAUCUUCGUCGGUGCAGGAAUGCUGAAUUCUGAUCAUGCUUGUUCAGUGAGUGAAGAGAUCGACCGCGACCGCGAGCUAGAGCUGUGGAUAAAAUCGUGCGUACCAGGCAAUUGGAAGGCCUCCAAAAGCAUCACUGUCGCUCAUCCGGAAGUGUAGUUUUUCUGUUUUAGUUUUGUUUGCAUGAAAGCCAUACGUUUUGCCCGAAACGUAAUGGUCCAUUGUAAGGGCCAUCUCAUGUGUUUCAUUGUGCAACAUUUUGCAUCAGUAAUAAAUGGAUGUUUUUGUGAUCAAAAGCGGUGUUCCCUGUUUUUCAUUUUUUGCAGUUUUAAAAAAUAAAAAUGGCAAUGUUUUUCGUUUUUCUUUUGAACUUGUCUUGUUCCAACCACAAAAGUGAUUACCCUCCUGAUCUCAUCGAU